GAUCCUAUUCUACUUAACUGUAGGGUAGUGGGACGCAGGCCGUUUACUUUGAAAAAAUUAGAGUGUUCAAAGCAGGCCUACGCUUGAAUACAUUAGCAUGGAAUAAUGGAAUAGGACUUUGGUCUUAUUUGUUGGUUUAUGGGACCGAAGUAAUGAUUAACAGGGACAGUUGGGGCCGUUUAUAUUUCGUUGUCAGAGGUGAAAUUCUUGGAUUUACGAAAGAUAAACUUCUGCGAAAGCAUUCGGCAAGGAUGUUUUCAUUGAUCAAGAACGAAAGUUAGGGGAUCGAAGACGAUCAGAUACCGUCGUAGUCUUAACCAUAAACUAUGCCGACUAGGGAUCAGUGGAUGUCAAUUUGCGACUCCAUUGGCACCUUGUGAGAAAUCAAAGUUUUUGGGUUCCGGGGGGAGUAUGGUCGCAAGGCUGAAACUUAAAGGAAUUGAC
rnacentral:rRNA from 1 species